rnacentral:rRNA from 1 species
AUUGAACGCUGGCGGAAUGCUUUACACAUGCAAGUCGAACGGCAGCACGGACUUUGGUCUGGUGGCGAGUGGCGAACGGGUGAGUAAUGUAUCGGAACGUGCCCAGUCGUGGGGGAUAACGUAGUGAAAAUUACGCUAAUACCGCAUACGAUCUAUGGAUGAAAGCGGGGGAUCGCAAGACCUCGCGCGAUUGGAGCGGCCGAUAUCAGAUUAGGUAGUUGGUGGGGUAAAGGCCCACCAAGCCAACGAUCUGUAGCUGUUCUGAGAGGACGACCAGCCACACUGGAACUGAGACACGGUCCAGACUCCUACGGGAGGCAGCAGUGGGGAAUUUUGGACAAUGGGCGAAAGCCUGAUCCAGCCAUUCCGCGUGCAGGAUGAAGGCCCUCGGGUUGUAAACUGCUUUUGUACAGAACGAAAAGGUUUCUACUAAUACUAGGAGCUCAUGACGGUACUGUAAGAAUAAGCACCGGCUAACUACGUGCCAGCAGCCGCCGUAA